ACCAGAGGCGCACACAUUCAAAAUAUGGUCUGAGACAUUUUUCCUCCGCGCCAAAAAUCAUCUCCGGUGGCGGCGGAGGUCCAAUCAUCCAACACAACAUACCCUGAGAACCGUCUCAACUCGCUGGUCCUCAUUUUAAACAUGGAUAUCUCUAAUUCUUCGCCAAACUCAAGAAUUGGAGAAGACUAGAGUGGAAACCCUAGGUCUCAAAUCCUCAAUUACAGACCAAUGAGUAAAGAAAUGGAGCUCAAACCAUAUGGGUUUGACUCCUCGCGCAGAGGCUUACAUCACAGCAAAAAGAAGUGGUCAAGAAAAUGAGUUUUCACCAACCUUCGAAGCGGAGGUGUGCUUAGGUGUUCGUUGAAAUUGAAGAAGACGAAACUCAAGAAAAUACCGGAGAAAUAUGAUUAUCCAUGUAUAAUGAUUCAAAUCCUUGCUUUGCGUAUCAUAUUCCUUCUUCUACUUCUUCUUGUUCUGAUCAGUGAGGGGAGUGAGGUUCAGCUCAACCUGAUUGAAGCUUCGAUGAGAAGCUUCAAUUGUUAUGAAUUUGGAGCUCUGAGUGAGGGUUGAAAGGUUUUGCAGAGUGAGAUUCUGAGCUUGAAGGCGAUGACAAAAGUGACAGCAUGAUAAUGAUGAUGAUGAUGAUGGUGUUUAAAUAGGAAUUAGGUUCGAAUUUCAUGUAGGUUUGGAGUGAGGCUUAGAGUUUGUUACGAUUGGCUCACUGAGUUAACUGUUAACUCAGUUAGUUAGUGGAUUGAAACUCAGUUAGUUAGUGGAUUGAAUGAAUGAGUCUAAAUUUGUUAAUUAAAAUACUCAAACUCUUACCUUUGACUGAUUAUUGCAGGUUGAAACUUAAGUGGAAUUAGGCUUAAUCAUGAGUGAUGAUCUGCUGAACAGGUUUACCCUUUAAUACAAGCUUGGUUAGUGCUGUGAAAUGGAACUUGUGAAUUAGUUUAGGCAAUGUUAUAUGUGUUGGUUGUAGCUGGUACAGGUUUCUUGUGUUUGGGUUGAUGCAUAUUGCUUGACAAUUUCAGGUUGGUAACUCAUAUGGAAGUAAGGUAGGGCAAACUGGUUGAUUGAUCAGGAUGAAAUGUUGCCUUCAUGCUGCAAGAUUGUUGAGCUGGAGAUGGUGAGUUGAAUUGUUGUGCUCAUAUUGAAGUUGUGUUCAUUGCUUUGUUGUCUUUGAUUGUUGUAGAUUUGUUGGGAUGUUGCAGCAUUAUGUUGUUGCAGGAUUGACUUGCAGCAUUGUGUAGUGCAUUUCCAACUGAAAGUGAGAUUGAGUUGUGGAUUUGUUGCACUUACCUGCUGCAUAUUUGUUAUGGUUUGUUUGAUGUUUUUCUUAUUGUUGUGUUGCUAUUGUGAGCAAUUAUGCUACUGUUGUAGUUUGUGUGUUACAGGCUGAUAUUAUUGAGAUUGUUUGGACUUUGUAGGCUUGGUUAAGGCAUUGUUAUUGCGGAAAUUAUUGCAGAUUUAUUGAUGUGGUUGCUGACUUAUUGCAGGGUUUUAUAAUAGUGUUUUUGUGUUGAUUAUGGUCUGCAGUGGUAUGCUUAUGUUGCAAGCUAGUUCCUAAUCCGGCCUUAAGCAGGAUUUGCAUGUUUUUGGUGCAUGUUCUUAGUCAUGUUGUGUUGCAAUUGCAUGGUGUGCAUUCUGAUGCAUUGUAGGUCUGGUAUUGCCUUGACAAUUUUGAAUUUGUCUCUGCAGGAUGCUAACUGUUUUGCACUAUGAUGCUUGCAGUAUGUCAUGAACUAUUUGCCACCUGCUUUGAUCAACAUGUUGCAUUGCUGUUGGAUGGUGUUGUGGUCUGACUUUGUUCCCUGGCUAUGCAUGAUGAUGGUGAGCAUUUGACAGAUUGGUAUUUGGCAUGAUUAGCAUAGGUCUUGUUAGCAACAGGGUGGUUUGAAGUUCAACUGAGUUCUGCAACUCAAUGAUUAGAAGCUGAAUACUCACUUGUGUGCAUGAUGUAAGACCACAUGCUGGUGGAAUUGUGCAUACUAGCAGGGUGCAACAAGGCCAACACCAAACACACUUAGGCAUGGGCAAGCAAAUGCAAGUAUGAAGCCAUAAGGUGGAAAUCCAAAUUCAAAUGGUUAGCUCAAGGUCAAGAUGGCCAUGGGAGAUGAAGUUAGGGAUAUGGUUGGUUAUGUAAUGUUUUUAUGGUGAAAAAUAAAUUGGGUUGACUUUGGUCAAAGUUGACCAAAAAAUCAACUGUUGAUCAAAGCUAAGACUUGGCCAAAAUUGUCAGUUUCUUGUAUUCUUUCAUGUGAUGGACACUUUUAUGGUUUAUGAAUGGGAAUUGAUGCUUGUUUGACAA